rnacentral:lncRNA from 1 species
AUUGAUAUUGGAUAAGAAUAUAUGGAUAGUGAUUGAAUUGUGUUGGUUGAUGGUUGAUUGAGAUAGGAUAACAGGUGGAUAGUCUUAUACAUAGACGAGACGAUGUCGGAUUUUCGAUAAAGAUUUAUAUGAUAAUUGAUUUGUGAUAUGUUAUGUGGAAUAUGAUUGACUAUAUGUUAGAGUCAAAGCAUGAUUAUGUGAUAAGUGAUAUCUAAUAGGUUUAAAGGGUUAUAUAAGGGGUAUCGAUAUACGUGAUGUGUAUGUACAAUAGAUUGUUUAGUAAUUAUAGUAUUGUCUUAUUCUCGUUAAGGAUUUGGACGAGACGUAUACGAUCGAAGACAUUCAGAAGGUCAAACGAUGAUGCAAAGCGAAUGAGAAAUGAAUCGAAGAGACGAAGUCGUAUUACGAAUAAAGUAUAGCCAGAGAUGGUCUAGAGACUAUGAUAUGCAUAGGUUGUGAGUUGGAAAGAUGAGAUUAAGCUGUGUGUGGAAGCGGAUUUAAGGCAAGUUUUCCUAAAUCUUUCCUCAUAUAUAUAUUGCAUGUUCUGAUUAUUCUGUCCAGAUUAUGGUAUUGCUUAUACUGAAACCCUUCUCAAAUAAACUCUUAUUUCUGAGAAUGAAACCCAUGAUUGUUUUCUACCUUUAAGUCUUUGAAAAGCCAAACACCUAAAUACUCUCAAUUUCUAUUACAAGUAUUCUGAUCCAUUCUUUCCAAUCCUCAAGAUUUUAAAAAUAUCAGCUUUACAAAUUAAUUCGAAGUUCAGACCGUCAUUGAAGCAUGGGUUGCUCAGUGAUAGUUAGAACCUAGAAUGAAUUGGGAUCUUCUUGAUUAUUCAACCCGCCAUUGUCAUGCUGGUUUAGCAGGCUAAAUUCAGUUGCUUAGCCGAUAAUGGAGGAUACUGAAUAGUUAGGAAUUUCCUGAACUAUGAUUUAUCAAAAGACAGACUGUGGUUUAUGAAAUGUUGAUCCUCAAAAGUUGAUUUGGAAUAUUUCUGUUGUUGAUAAUGAUUAUGAUUCUGUUCUGUUGAUUGAAUUGUCUAUUGAUUUAAAUUGUUAGAAUUGGAUUAGUUUUUAUAAAAUAUGUGGACCAGAUUCGUGGUCAGACCAGAUUCGUGGUCAAUUAUAGGCCAAUGUGUGCCUUGGAUCCAGUAUAGAGAACAGGGCUGUGUGCCAUGUUCGGGGUUAGUGCGUGACUGAUCAGCAGCCUAACCUUUGGUUUUUAAGUAAAAAUGUGAUGAAUCCAAUUCGACAAUUCUUCUGUAAGUUUGAAUUCUGAUUUCAAUUGCUGAUAAGAAUUGUGAAGUUUUCAAUUACAUAUCCUGAACCCUGAUAAGAUAAUUCAGGACUAUUGUUGCUUAUAUACGCUUGCUGAGCAUUGUUGCUCACCCUUGCUAUUCCUUUUUAACCAUUUCAGAAAAGCUUAAAGAUGAAUUGCUUGAUUGAGAUUGCGAGUAUGGCUAAGGCUAAGCGAGGAGUCAGAGUUAUAGAAUAUCCAGAGGACAAGUGGAAUGUCCAGGGAGAUUGUCAAGGUUGGUUCUAGAUAGAAUUGUAUUGAUGAGAUUCAGUUGUAAGUCAUAAUUGAAAUAGAUUGACAGUGAUUCUUCUUAUCGAAGAUGAUCUGAGGUUGUAAGACAUUGUUUAUUGAUAGUGGUUGAUUCUAAUUUCAAUACUGUAACCUGGAUGCGAUCCUGUUUUUAGGGGGUUAAAGUGUUUUCUUUUAAAUCUUUUACUAAAGUUUUCAGGUUUUAAAUCCUUUGAUUUUAUUACCUUUUUCAAAAAUACAGGUUUUCAAAAGUGUUUUAGAAUGAUUUUGUGUGGUGACGUCAGAAUCCAGACCCCCGGAUUCUCGGGCUGUCACAGUUGGUAUCAGAGCAACAGGUUAUAAGUUAUUGAAAUUAGAAUAUAGAUUGUGGUCAUAAGUUUUAUAGAGAAGAAGUUUUCAGUGACCUCAUAUAGAGGUAUUGUGAGACUGUUUGGGGAUAGUCUAGAGAGGUAAUCGGAAUAGAAUCUAGAUAGUUAAUUAAGUUGAGGGUAUAUGUUUAGAUAGAUCAUGGUUCAUAAGUCUAGAAACUUGGUUUCUAGUAUGGGGACUGAUUGAGAUAGUGAUUUGUGAUAAGGGUCAGAGUUAGACCUAGUCAAAAGAGUAUUAAUAGUGAGAUUGAGUUAAGAAUGAUAAAGAUGCAUGGUUUGAAAAUGGUUUAUUGUUUUAACUGAGAUGUGAAAGAAUGGGUGUAGAAUAUGAGAUAUGUUGGAUUGGAAAGAGAGUUUUGUAGACAGGUGAGAAAUGAAUGAUAGAAAGUAUGUGGAAUUGAGUCUAGUUAUCAGAAGUGAUAUUAUGAGUAGGAUAGGACGCUAGUCUUCAACGACGACGCUUCAAGCUAACCGGGAAUUCAUCUGAUUUCAAGAUGAGCCAGCUUCAUUGCGAAUGAUAAUGUCUACAAGGAAAUCUUACGAGGCUAUCACGAGUUAACAUGGAUCGAUUAUCGAGAACGCCGAGAAGAAGACAUACAUUGAACAACGAUUUAUUGGAGCAGAGCAAGAAUUUGAGAAGACCUUGGCAAUAUCUUUUUCCAACAAAAGCUUAUUUUAAUUCUUUUCAUCAUCAUUGAGCCCUUAUACCUUUCCUACAAAAGUUUUAAUAGAUGAGGUUUUCCAGUUCUCGAAUGACGAGAGAACAUUAGUAUUGAUUAUUGAAAUAAGUGGUAUUGAUUCUUGGUGUGUGAUAAAAGUUGUUGUGAGAAGACAAUGAUAUUUCUUGAUAUUCCUUGACAUUCCGUGAUAUUCUUUGAUAUACCUUGAUAUCUCUUGAUAUUCUUUGGUACUUUUUGAGAUUCCUUGAUAUUCCUUCCAUCUGAUUGGGAUGAACAACCCUAUUUAUAGGGGACACAAGGUAUACCUGUCUGUGUGAUAGGAAUUGGAUGGGACGCCAUCACUUGUGUGUGUUGUGAUUACAAGAAGGUUAACAACCUUUAGUAGUGUCUAAUAUGGGCACGCAACACUAAGUUCGUUUGGUCAUAUUGAUCUCUCAGUCACUUUCUUAUUUAAACAUGACCUAUUCUGAAAACCUUUUGCUCCAUUCUAAGUUCUUAAAGAUUGAAUCUAAGAACUGAGCUCUGAAAUAGUGAAAGUUUUAAUACUCUUAUUUGUUUCAAAGUCAAAGGUAUGCCAAGGUCGAACGAAGGUGGAAGGAUGAUAGUACGAAGGGUGUACAUUUUCGUUCUCUUCGCGGAUUCUGAGGACAGAAUCCUUAUAAGGAGGGUAGAUUGUAACAUCCCAGAUUUUCAGAAUUAGUUUAUUAAUAUAGAAAUAAUUUUUGAAUAUUACUAUUGGCUUUAAUUGAUUUCUUCUGAUAAGAUGAACGGUCUGUGUAAUAUGAGUAUAAUUGUGAUGUGAAUUAUAAGGUUUAAACCGACUAUGCAUUCUUCUCCUGUGAUUUCGUAUAUUUUUACGACCCGGAUUUUUCAAAAAUUGUGUAUCGUUAUGAAAGUUAUUUUCUUAGAAAGAAGGAAUAAAGUUUAAUAUUUUAUUCCAGUUUAAGGUAUUUUCAAAAUUUUAUUUUAUAUAAUUGAUUUUAAAGAUUUAAAGGAUGGCUAUCGUUACAUGGCUAAGUGUUGCAUGUGGAAUUGUGAGUUUAAUUAGUUAUGAUAAUUAAAUGUGAAUAUUGCAUGAAUUUGGUGUGAAUUGAUUUUCUGUAAUUGGUAAUUAUACGUGCCAGAACUGUGGGUUCAAUUAUUGAUAUUAUCAGAAUGAGUCAUAUGUUAUUUAAAUAUUUUCAAAUGAUUUAUAUACGGAUAUAUGAAUAUCCUUUCAAAACUCAUUUCAAAUAUUAUUUCUGAAAAUACAGAGAUUUGUUAUGCAAAAGUUAGAUGGUCGAUAUGUGAAGAUAUGUAUUACAUGAUUAAGUGUUACGUGUGUAAUGGUCGCGUAAUUAGUUAUGGUUAUUUUUGAAUAUUAUAUGAAUAUUUGGUAAAUUCUUUGAUAACUAGUUUUUUUAUUUUGAUUGCUUAUAUAUGUUGCAAUCACGAGUUUUCAAUUUUCAUAUUCUCAGAAUAGAAUAUGGAACAUUUGGGUAUUUCCCUAAUAAUUUAUGAGUAGUAUGUGAUAUUUAUAUGAAUAUUUGUGAGGUUUGUGUUAUCUGAGUUAUUGAAUUGACUGCUCAUAUGUGUUCGGAUUUGAGAUAUUUCAAUUUCUAUAUGAUCAGAAUAAAAUCUAGUUUAUUUAGAUAUGUUCAUAUCGAUUUUUGGAUUGCUAUGUGAUUUUAUAAUCGAUUUAUGGAUUUAAUUUCGUUUAAUUAUUAAUUAUAUUAAAAUAUUUAUUUAAUAUUUUAAACCCCGCGGGCGUUCGGGGAAAAAUUCGCCAUUAGGCUAUUUGGGACAUUCUGAGCAUUUCUCGUGUUUUAACUUUUUCAAUCCGGAGUACGGUUUACCCCGUAAAUGGUCCGGUACAAUUUUGUUAAUAUUUUUAAGGUUAAUGAUUAUCUGGUUGUAUAAAAAUACGUGAAGCAUAUUCCAGAGAAUAUUCCAAAGCAUAUUCAAGGAAUAUUCCAAAGCAUAUUCGAGGAAUAUUCUCUUAUCUUCUUCUAUAAAUAUCCUUUACCAGUUUAUUUCGCACGUACAAUCAUUUCGCCAGUUCUCUGCACGAAUACCGAGAGAAAACGAACGGGUGUUCUUCGUGUUCUUCAUAAUCAAACAAGGAUUUGAAGGCGUUAUUGGAAUCCGAUGGAGGCGUAUAAAUAGUCAAAACGAAGCUCUCGACGCGUAGAAUCUAUUGUAGUUAUCCAUACCAGUGCUGAAUCGACAGGUUUUUACUAAGUAAGCUUUUUAAUUUCGAAUUUAAAUGAUUUUAAAUAUGAAUUUUUGCAAACGUGCUUGUUUGAUUGAUUUGAUGCUUCCAUGUUGUAGAGCGUCUCCUGCCAUUCGUUUUCAUAUAUUAUAUGCCGAUUUUUGACUUCCGUAACAUAUAGAAAAGUUAGUUUGAUUCUUGAAGUUGUGUUCUUGGAGGUUAUGAAUGUUCUUAAUUGGAAAAGAGGCGUUUUUAAUCUGGGGAUUCUGCGUUGUAUUGGUUUAUACCAUUAGGAAGAGCGUGUCAAGAGGAAUAUGUUCAUAUAAUCGGAUUUUGUGGAGGAUUCACGGUUGAGCUUAUUGGAGUUUAAGAACACCGGCGGUGUUCUUGGACUUUCCGGCCAAAAUCCGGCCAAACUACAUGCUAUUUACUGAUUCUGAUUAUGGGUAUGGGUUCCUGGUAGUAUGAACUUUAAAUCUGGAGUUUAUGGGGUGUGUAGGACGUCGGAAAAUCGAUUUCCGGCGAGGUAGUAUGGUGGCCGACGGAUAAUUUCCGUUUGGUCACCAACGUUAUGAAGAUGAUGAAGGUUUGACACUGGAGUUUGAUUGUUGACAUUCUAGCUCUCGAACUUUUGAAAGUUUACACCUGGCACCCUGCCAGACAAUUUCAGUAUUUUUACAAUUUAAACCUUUUCAAAUUUAUUUCAAAAAUUCAUUUUAGUGAUUUAUUUUAAUUUCAAAAAUAGUUUCUAAUUACUUCUUUAUUCAAAAAUAAAUCUGAAAUUAGUUUAUUAAUUAAAUUUAAUUAGUAAUUAAUUAUUUUAAUUGGUCAAUUAAUUUUAAUAUUAAUUGAUGGAUUAUUUUAAUUAAUUAUUAAUUGAUUUUAAUUGAUUAAUUAAUUAGAUUUAAUGAUUUCUUUUGAUUUAAAAAUUUCGAGAAAUAGUUUCGAGCUUUGGAUUAUUUUUCUAAAAUAUGUUUGAGGCUCGUUAAAUGAUUUCAAAUGAUUUCGGAUCCGAUCUUGAGCAAUCGGAUUUGAUUAUUUAUUCAAAAAUGGAUUCUUUUACCUGUUUUAAUUCCGAAAAAUGUUUAGAAAUUCCAGAAAAUUCGCGAAAAAUCAUUUUUAACUUGAGACUUGAUUGGAUAUCGAUUGGGACGGGAAACCUUAUGUGCAAUGUGUUGUCUGCUGUCUGUGUGAUAUGUUAUGUGCCGAUAGGAGAGUUAGAAAACGGUUUUGAUCAUAUCUUUUGAUCCGUAAUUCAGAAUCAGGUGAAACGAAAGGGAGAUGAAAGCUUAUGGAAUCUAUUUUAAUAUGACAAGAUAAUAUGAUCGAGUCUAGAAUGUGAUUAUAUGUCAUGUAAUAUGCAAUAUGUGUCAAUAUGUGACUUGUCUGCUAUGAAUUGAUGAUUACGUGAUAUACGUGGCUAUUCCUAAUAUUAUACAUAUGUGAUAAAUGACUUAUAUGACAUAGUGUCAUGAAUUGAUUGAUAUUGGAUAAGAAUAUAUGGAUAGUGAUUGAAUUGUGUUGGUUGAUGGUUGAUUGAGAUAGGAUAACAGGUGGAUAGUCUUAUACAUAGACGAGACGAUGUCGGAUUUUCGAUAAAGAUUUAUAUGAUAAUUGAUUUGUGAUAUGUUAUGUGGAAUAUGAUUGACUAUAUGUUAGAGUCAAAGCAUGAUUAUGUGAUAAGUGAUAUCUAAUAGGUUUAAAGGGUUAUAUAAGGGGGUAUCGAUAUACGUGAUGUGUAUGUACAAUAGAUUGUUUAGUGAUUAUAGUAUUGUCUUAUUCUCGUUA